UACGGAGGGUGCAAGCGUUAUCCGGAUUCACUGGGUUUAAAGGGUGCGUAGGCGGUCAGGUAAGUCAGUGGUGAAAUCUCUGGGCUUAACCCAGAAACUGCCGUUGAUACUAUUUGUCUUGAAUAUCCUGGAGGUAGGCGGAAUAUGUCAUGUAGCGGUGAAAUGCUUAGAUAUGACAUAGAACACCGAUAGCGAAGGCAGCUUACUACAGGAUGAUUGACGCUGAGGCACGAAAGCGUGGGGAGCAAACAGG
rnacentral:rRNA from 1 species